rnacentral:rRNA from 1 species
AUAUAGUCUGGCCUGCCCACUGAUAAUAUAUUAAAGGGCCGCGGUAUACUGACCGUGCAAAGGUAGCAUAAUCAUUAGUCUUUUAAUUGGAGACUGGAAUGAAUGGUUGAAUGAAAAAUUUACUAUCUAAAAAUUAAAUAUAAAAUUUUACUUUUAAGUGAAAAGGCUUAAAUUAAAUAAAGUGACGAUAAGACCCUAUAAAAUUUUAUAAAUAAAAUUAUUAAAUAUAAGUCUUUAUAUUAAAUAUUUAGUAAAAUGAAUUUAUUGUAUUGGGGAGAUUGGGAUAUAUACAUUGAAAUCUGUCUUUAAAAUAAAAAUAAAAAUAAUUAGAUUUUGAUCCUUUAGUAGAGAUUAAAAGAUAAAGUUACUUUAGGGAUAACAGCGUAAUUUUUCUUGAGAGUUCUAAUCGACAGAAUAAGUUGCGACCUCGAUGUUGAAUUAAAUUUACUUUUAAAUGUAGCAGUUUAAAAAGAAGGUCUGUUCGACCU